CACACCAGGCCACAACAGUGGCCGACACCAAUGUCCCAGUCCCUGGAGAGGUCUCACCCCUCACCGAGAUGCACUCAGGGCCUAUUAGUCAUUUCAUGGGUUGUAGUUUAAGAUUGAAGUUGAGCAUCAUGAGAAUGCCAUUGUGUGAGGCUUGUCUGUAUAGAACAUAGCAGAACCUGAAAACCACAAGUGCCUUUCUUCAUAUCAAGUGGACUCUGCCAAUCCUCCUUAGAGAUGUUUCUGGAAGUCAGAGUCCUAAAAUGGGUCAGCAAGGCUGCAUUCCUUCUGGAGGUUCAGGGAAGUAUCAGUUUCCUUGCCUUUUCUAGCUUUUAGAGGCCACCUGCAUUCCUUGGCUCAUGGCCCAUCCCCCAUAAUAUCUUCUAAUCUCUCUCUUUGUCUCUCUACCUCUCUUGUUAUAUUGCUUUCUGUUUCAUAAGGAUCCUUGUGAUUGCGUUGAGUCCAUCUGGAUAAUCCAGGAUAAUCUCUCAUCUCAAGAGCCUUAACUUAAUCACAUCUGCAAAGUCCCUUUUGCCAUAUAAGGAAUGUAUUCACAGGUUCUGGAGAUUAGGGCCUACUCCUCUUUAGGGGGCCAUCAUUCAGCCUACCGUAAUCCAAUAGCAAGGAAAUCGAAUAUUUGGGGACAUGAUAGAUUGUCCUUUACAGUUAUUUGUUUUGGAGGUAGGGACAGGGAGAGGUGGAUACGGACCCCUUUCAUGCUCCAUCUUGGUGUCUCCUCCCAGCCCCAGUAGAACACACAUGGAUAGUUAUUUCCAAUAAGAUUGCAGAAAGGAGAAUUGCAAGCAAAGGGAUAAAAGACAAGGAGGACCCCUGAUUUAUAAUUCUUCCCACUGGACAUGUAUCCAGUCAAUGAAAGUGUGGUUUCAGGCAGGCCUACAUUAACAAGCUCCAAAUUAGUGACCUUGUAGAAGAAGGCAGCAUGCUGACUGAAGAAAGAUGGAUAUUUUUUCCACAGGAUUGGCUUUUGGUCUUACUCUGCCAGGCCUGAGGUGUAGGCACAGGGGAAUGAGUCAAUUAGGUCUCCUGCUAUCAGAUCUAUGAGAUCCCUCUUAUUAUGCCACACACACACAC